rnacentral:rRNA from 1 species
UACGUAGGGCGCAAGCGUUGUCCGGAAUUAUUGGGCGUAAAGAGCUCGUAGGCGGUUUGUCGCGUCUGCUGUGAAAACCUAAGGCUCAACCUUGGGCUUGCAGUGGGUACGGGCAGACUAGAGUGCGGUAGGGGUGACUGGAAUUCCUGGUGUAGCGGUGGAAUGCGCAGAUAUCAGGAGGAACACCGAUGGCGAAGGCAGGUCACUGGGCCGCGACUGACGCUGAGGAGCGAAAGCAUGGGGAGCGAACAGG